UGAAGGAAGCAGCUUUAUCCAGAGUAAUCUGGCCAGAUGCCUGGAAGUCCCAAGCCUGGACGUAGCAAAUAGCCGAAGGUUGAGGAGGUGCAGCGCUAUCACAGAGGCCAUAAAAGCACCGAAGGUACGUGAAAGUCAUUGUAGACAUUUGGGAAACUGAGAAAAGCAUAAAGAAGUGCACACCAGUGAUGACUGGGUUCUGAUCUAGCUCCCCAUCAUCUUUGUCUCACCUGGGUAUUGUCACAGCUUCCUGACUGCUCCCCCUGCCUUAAUCUCUACCCAGCCCAGCAGCCAGAGGAAUCCCGAUGAAAUGGUGAUCACAUAAUGCCGUCCUCCGAACUUCCAUGUUCCCACUUCACCCAGAAUAAAAGCCAGAGCACUUACAAGGGCUUGUGCCCCGCUCGGACCCCCUGACCAACACUGCUUUCUCACUGUCCUGUAAUCAUGGCCCCUAAAUGUCUGCAAGGCUCCUCCCUCACCUUUCCGGUCUUAUUUGAAAUGGUGUCUUUUCAGAGAGGCCCUCAUGCCCGCUUCUGUACAGUCAGGGGCCCUCUUUGCUGUGCCGUCAUCCCAUAUACUAGAGUUUAUCCUGUUUAUUAUCUGUCUUCUCCAUAAAGGCAGAGCUUUCUAUCUGGUUUUGUUUGCAGAUGUCUUUGUUUUCUAAAGCAUAACAAAUCACCCCAAAAUUUA